rnacentral:lncRNA from 1 species
AAAAAAAUACCUCAUAACAGUUUAUACAAUAUUGGCUCUUUACAUUGAAGCUGCCAAGCAUGGAUGAGUCGCUGAGAAGUAGUACUCUGAAGGACCAUUUAAAUGCAAAGGUUGUGUACCACUUCUGCGAUGCAAAAGAAUGAAGCAAAAGGUUCAACAAUGAGCUGGAACAGAUCACUAUAGCACGACGCCCUCCCUAUAGAACCGCAUAAUCCAGACAGAUGAGUCUAAGUCAAAUCCAAGCUCGUCAUCGUUACCCUAUUCGAAUAGCUCGAAAAGCUUCAACAACCUUUCGCUGAUACCAUCGCCAAAGAGCACAGCCUCGCCAUGCCACAUCCACUACUUUGUCAACAACAAAAGUAUCCCAUAUCAUCAGGGUCGAACGUACUAUAGAUUUGAUGGACUUGUUUUGACCCUCAAAUUCUUGAGUUGGCCUUAUACUCUAGAGGAAACCAGAAAACCCUGCAGCCUAGUUCAAGAAUAAGCAUGUGGAAAGUUACUUCUUCAAAAACAAAAGUAUCUCAUAUCAUCUCUUCUCAUUUUUCUUCUUUUUAUCCUUCUUGCUGCCUGCAAGAUAGGGAGAAUGAGAACAAUCAGCCGGAACUCGAAAUCAAACUUCUAAUCUGGGACUAAUUGCUUAGAACUCUAAUUGCUUACCUUGUUUGUCACCUUUUUCGGCAGAUCUCUUAGCUCGGCGACUUGGGGGACUCUUACUACAUGGUUUGUAUUGCGCUUGACCAAGCCUGAAACUACAAGUAAGCUUCAAAUGAAAUUGAUACAUUACCUUGUGCAUCUCCACUGGUUACAGAUACCACUCCUGAAUGGAGGAAAAGUACUUCUAGAGAAGAUGCCACAUCUACCUAUGAGACAGAUAAGGCAAGUGAAAACGAUACCACACUUCGAUACUUAGAAAUUUCGUGAUUACUCAGCGGGUUGGAUCUUGCAAGUUCCCAACCGAGGAACUUCCAUCACUCGGGAACUUAGGGGAACACUGUUUGUACCAUACUUGACCAAUCCCGAAACUACUGAGCACCUGUCAACAUUAUACCGUCAAGGACCCAGAAGAGUUUCCCUCUAACCAAGAGGCCAAUCACAACGUGACACGUGUCAACAUCAGAAGCCAAUCAUAGUGCAACACGUGUCAACAUUAGAAGCUAAUCACAACACGACACGUGUCAAUGUCAGAACAAAGCUAAAAACUCUAUAAAAGGAGAUCAUUCUCUCAUAAUAUUUCCUAAUGUCAUUUGUACUAAAUCAUUCACUAGUACUUACUAAAGAAGAGCUUGAACCUAUGUACUUGUGUAAACCCUUCACAAUUAAUAAGAACUCCUUUACUCCAUGGAUGUAGCCAAUCUGGGUGAACCACGUACAUCUUGUGUUUGCUUCUUUGUUUCUGUCCAUUUACAUACCUAUCCAUACUAGUGACCGGAACAAUCUAGCGAAGGUCACAAACUUGACACUUUCUGUUGUACCAAAGUUCUCGCUGAUUUUGUGCAUCAACAUACCUGACCCAAAAAGGGCUUGCAAGCUCACAGAAUAAAACCCUAAAAUUCGAAGACGAAUAUUUCCUGCAACCAAAAAAUGAAAUCAAAAGAAAGAACCAGAUGUAAAACACGAAGAAAUAAAGAAAACAUUGAGCAAAAUAGGUGAAGAGCCGAACUUUACAACAAUCAAUUAAAAAAAUUCCUUCCUAACCAAACAGAAAAUAAAGCAACGCAUGAACAAACACACCUGAACCAGAGCGAUUCGUUCGUGGAAAACAGCGACAAUAACAGGCCAAACACCGUUCCACACGAUCCGAUCGGAAUCGAAACCGAAAGACAAACGGGGAAAUCGAUAGAAACAAAAAGACAGAAAGAAGAAAAGAAGAGGAAAGUGAAAAUUGGAAGGCACAAAACGCACACACGGGAACAAAAAUAAGAGAGGGGCAAAGUGGCCAAUUCACCAUACAACCCCACUAAAGCCUAAAAACUUGAAGAGAAUGAGGGGCAAAACUGGGUGGGCACUGUUAGUGAGCAGUAGUUUUCAUCGGGUUUUAGUAUAUAGAUAAUAAUUUGCGAGCAGGCAUGUCCGUGGGUAUAGAAGUUGCAGCAAUAGAAAGCCCAGCCCAAAUGAUGGGCACCGGCGAAAAGGCAACAGAAUGUUAGUUGUGGGUACACGUGGUUGAUGGUGCACUUCUUAUUUUUGUGUUACGCACUGACAGUUGCCAAUCAAGCUCACGAACCAAAGUAACCUCUCUCUCUCAGUUCUUCUUCCCUUCCCUUCCCUUCACACUGCAAACCUCCUCAGUCUGAUUCACUUUUUUCAACCAACCGCUCCCUCAAAUUGUAAGCUCUCCCGUCUCCCUCUACCGAUUUAGUUUUCUUCUGGAUUAUUUGUUUGGCUUUCAUUUGGGUUGUUGAUGCUUUUGCUGUUUUCCCUCAACUGAUUUGAUAUUCCAUUUUUGUUGAUUUUAGAAUAAUUGUUGAUGUUUUUGGCUAUUUAGUUUGCAAUUUUGCAUUGAUUUGAAUGGGUUUACUUUUUUGAAGCUGCAGUGCACCCAAUUUGAUUGGAUAUUGAAGACAAGGGCGGAAGGAGAGGCAUUCCUUCCUUGUUUAAGAUUAUUCUUGCUUGCAGGUUGCACCACUGGUUGGUUGGUAAUUUCAAGCACUCAAAUUUGUUUUUGUUUUUUUUUAAUUUUUUGUGUGAAUAUGUUUGGUACCCUGCAACUGGGGAACUGGGUUACUGGGGUGGGGGUUUUAUGUUCGAGUUCCGGGUGCUUGAUUUUAUAACUUAUAAGCAUGCUUAAAUUCUCAUGUGUAAUACAUGUGCUUGCUUGUUUCUGAGUUGACAGAAGAAAUAUAUGUAACAGUUUUGAUGUAUAUUCCCCGGAGAGGGGAGUAGUGGACCACUACUAGUGGUCAACCGGGGCUCAAGCAAAAGUUUAGAGGGUGAAAGAAUGGAGGAGUGCUCGACCGGGGCUCUAGUCCCGGCAGUGAAACCCGAACCAAAAGCGUCAAGCAUCACGGAUUUGGCAGAUCCAGGUAGCGGUGAGGUGGGUCGUCUGGUGCAUGAGAAAGAACUGGCAGAGGUAGACAAGGACUUGUUAUGCCCAAUUUGUAUGCAAAUGAUAAAGGACGCCUUCCUCACAGCGUGUGGUCAUAGCUUCUGCUACAUGUGCAUCAUCACCCACCUCCGCAACAAGAGCGACUGCCCUUGCUGCGCCCAGUUCCUCAGCGCCAAACAAUUGUUCCCUAAUUUUUUGCUGGACAAGGUUUCCUCUCAAAUUCCCACUCCUUAAAGAUGAAAAAUGAUAUACUUAGAACUGCAGCUUACUGUUAUAUGUAAUGUACUGUAGCUUCUGAAGAAGACUUCUGCUCGUCAAAUUUCCAAAAGUGCAUCUCCUGUAGAGCAUUUUCGCCAGGCAUUGCAGCAGGUGAGUCUGGCUGUACGAGUCAAGUAAAAUAACAUAUGAAUUUUCGUUUGCUGUCUGAAUGUGGUGUUGUGCUGUGAUAGGGAUGUGAAGUGUCAAUCAAGGAACUAGACACCCUGUUGGCACUCCUGGCAGAGAAGAAGAGGAAAAUGGAACAAGAAGAGGCGGAGAGAAAUAUGCAAAUACUGCUUGACUUCUUGAAUUGCCUAAGGAAGCAAAAAGUUGACGAGCUUAAUGAGGUUUCUUUGUAUACUCUUGGCGUUAUUUGAAAUAUUUGAUUGAACUGAAUUAAAUGGUAUCUGUUACUAAUUCAAUUGAUUUUAUGUUGCAGGUGCAAACCCAUCUCCAAUUUAUCAAAGAGGACAUAGGUGCAGUAGAGAGAUGCAGAAUGGACUUGUACCGUGCCAGGGACAGAUACUCUGUCAAGCUGCGGAUGCUUGGAGUGGAUGAUUCUAUUUCUGGGACAAGAAAGCAAUGGCAUUCCUCUCCAGAUAACAACGCCUGUGCGCUUAGUGGACGAGGAGGGAUGUCAUCUUGGAAUCUUCCGAGAAGGGAUGCUUUAAGUGCAUCAGACUCCCAGUAUCUAACUCAAACUGGUCUUGCUGUAGCCAGAAAAAAGCGGGUCCAUGCACAGGUCAGUGACAGUCCUGUAAUGAUUAUAGACUUUUGCACUUUGUGUGCUUCUAUCUUAUGAUGAAUACACUUGUCCCGGGGGAUCAUUGCUAUUAUUUAGACAUUAGAUGGUGGUUAAUAUGGGCAACCCCCUCAAUCAUUCCAAACCUGUUUCUCAUUUGGUCCUCAACAAAAGCCACCUCAAUUGUACUCAACAAAUGCAUUAAUAUAGCUCUCUGUCAAUUUGGCAUGAAAUCAAUACUUACACUGGGUUUUGGUUUAUGGGGUUUCUGGACUUUAGUUGAGUUUACUUUUAUUUUUGGGUAAUUGUUAUUAGAACUCCAAAAUAGUCACUCCGCACCCCUCCCUACCUUAUUUUUUUUCAUUGGAGUGGAGAAUGAAUUUUUUUGGAGUGCCAGCACCUGUAUUGAUCAAGUUAAUUGAAUUUAAGGUAAGCUAGACCCUCCUCGUUUUUAUGGUUGUCUUGGUUUGUUCUCAUUCCAUCCCUGGCUUGUAGUUUGAUGAACUUCAAGAGUGUUACCUGCGAAAGCGGCGUCAGAUGGCGAACCAACCGUACUCCCAGCAAGAACGGGACAAAAGUGUAAUACAGAGAGAAGGUUAUACUGCAGGUCUUGCUGAUUUUCAAACAGUGCUCACUACAUUAACACAGUACAGGUAUGAUAUCAGAUAUUGGAUCCCUUACAGAAAUUUACUUUUCAUUUGGGUCAACAUGCAGAUAUACAGUUUUAUUUACUAUAAUCACUAUUCUGUUUUGUUUGCUAUGAAACAGUCGAAUGAGGGUCAUGGCUGAACUUAGGCAUGGGGAUCUAUUUCACUCAGCCAAUAUAGUAUCCAGGUGAUUAAUUAUGUUGCAUAUCAUGUCUAACUUUCAGAAUUAAAUGUCUUGAUUCAUUAUAGAUGAACUAUGUUCUGGAGACGUUGUUGCUGGUAUUGUUAACCUCAUACAGUUGUUCACAUUCAUUGCAGCAUUGAAUUUGAUUGUGAUUACGAGUUAUUUGCUACUGCUGGAGUUUCACGGUGCAUAAAAGUUUUUGACUUCUCUUCGGUAUGAUUUUGAUUUUAAGAUUGUUUUUACCGUUAAUUCCAGCAACAUUAAUUUUCUGUCGACAGUCAGUAUUGUUAACUUCUAAAAGAAAGGGUGUUCAGAUACUUCUGGUUGCUUGAGUGCAUUGCCUAGUCAACUACUAAAAGAAAGGGUUUUAAGAUAUUUUCAACAAAGACAAAUUGCUUUAUUUUUUGAUUGUUUGAAUGCCUUCCUCUAAUAUAACAAUAGAGUAUUGACUCAAUACAAAAGUUGAUUUUACUCGGUAUAUUUGAACAAAUAGAAUUAGAUUAACCAUUGAACAAUUAGCCAAUUUAAAGAAAAUUACAUAAAUAAUAAACAUUCAUGUAUGGUUUUGCAAAAAAUCUAUCAUAAUUUUUUUCUUUUCCGGGAGUAUGAAGAAUAUUUGUUGGUGAGACACAAAAUCCUUAUACCAAAAUUCCAUAUGCUCCUACUUCCGUCUUUCUGGUAAAAGAAGUACUCUAGUCUAUGAUUAAGCUCAUAAAACUCAAAAGUAUUGUCCAUGCAUUAAAAGAGAACUCAAACAUCAAAUAUGAAUAUUAAUUAGUACUGAGCAUUAAAAGUAUAGAUCAGACUAAGACAUUCUCUUAGCCUUAGCUGAAAGAUUAGAACCUUAUGACAGAAGAGAAAAUGGUUUUUUGUAUGAAGAACCUGUAUGAAACCACGAACACAAGCCUGUGGGAAUCUACCAUCUCUCUUUAGGUCUAUCUGCCAUCUCUCUUCAAAUAGGAUAUCUCAUGCAGUAGGUUUGCUUUUCAUUUGUUAAGUCCCAUGUCACUCUCCAAUCCCUACGUCAAAUUCAAGCCAGUGUCCAGUCCCUAUUAUAGAAAGUUCAUUUUCUCUCCCAAUUGAAUUAGAAAAUUCACAUGCAGCUGUACAGUUUACCUACGGAUAAUGUAGAUUUCCAGACUCCUGGUCUUCAACUUAAAUGUGUAAAGCAUUCAUAGGAUUGAAACUAAGAGAUAUGAACACAAAAAGUUAGAGAUACGCAAAAGAAUCAUUUUUUUUUUUCAGCCCAAGUUGAUUCUUGAAGUUUACGUUGACUGAUUUACUUUAUAAGUUACUAGCCUCUAGUCUCUCAGCACGCGCUGACGCACGCGCAAGAGGCAUUUUUUCAAUUACGCGCUACGCACAACAUACAAACUUUUAAUCAUGCACAAAGACUUAACAAAACAUUAUUCUUGCGCCCGUUACGCAGAUUUUACAAAGAAAACUAGUGAAUCUUAUAUUUAAUCAUGGUUUAGAUAUAAUUGAAUAAUGUAUAAAAGAGAUUGAACAAACCCUAUUACUGGUUUUUGUCAAGAGACUUUAACCUAUAACUUUGGUUGACAGAAAUUGUUUUGAAAUGCACUCGAGUCUAAAGGCCGAGCCACCAAAAGAUUUUGUGAUAUUUGAUAUAACACAAGCAAAAACGUGUGAGAAACAAAGUCCUAAAACAAAUAAAUCCCUUCACCACUGCUUGCAAGCAUCUUAAAUAUAAUAUUAUUAUAUUACAAUUAAAUCUAUUAGGUGAACUUUGAAGAAGCAACAAUUGACAUUACAUUCCAAGGCUUUUCAAAUUUGGCAACAAAAACAUAUGCUUCCCAGCAACUUCGGGAUGAAGGCCUGACAAAUUCCUUAAGUUUCUAAUUUCUUCCAAAUGAUUGGCUGUGAUUAGAUAGGUUUGAGUGCGUCAUGCGCCCUUCUGUAAACACAAACAGAUAAGUUGUCACGGUAUAGUUGAAUAAAACAUGUAUCAAGGGAACAUAAUUAACCACAAUUAUUUGUCAAAAAAAGCACUUUAGUGCCUAUCUACAAGAAUACGGCGAUAUACAAAUUGCAUGAACUAUAGGUGUUAGUUUAAUGAGUCAACAAUGAAGCUCUAGAAGAGAGUAAUUGAGCAUAGACUAAGGUAAGAGACAUGGGUCUCAGCCAAUCAAUUCGGGCUCAUGCCAGGAACUAUGGAAGAAAUCUAUCUUGUAUGGACAUCGAUGGAUAGAUAUAGAGAUAUGCAAAAGGAUUUGAAAAUCGUUGUUGUAGAUUUGGAAAAAGUGUACGAUAGGGUCUCUAGAGAAUUUUUUUGGAGCAUUCCAAAGAAAGAAAGGAGUAUGAGUAGCAUAUAUCUAAGCAAUAAAGGAUAUGUAUGAUGGAGCAAAGAUUGUUGUAAGAACUCAUGAAGGACAAACUGAAAGCUUUCCUAUAACCAUAAGGUUGCACAAGGCUCAACUUUAAGUCCAUUUGAUUGGUAAUGGAUGAGUUAACGAGAUAUAUUCAAGAUGAUAUCCUUUAGUGUAUACUUUUCGCAGAUAAUAUAGUGAUGAUAGAUAAAACACAGGAAUGAGUGAAUGCGAAGCUUAACCUUUGGCAGGAAGUGUCGGAAUUUAAAGGUCUUCGCCUAAGUAGGUCAAACACAUAGUAUAUGGAGUGCAAGUUCAGUGAGAAUGGGGAUACAAAUGAGAUAGGGGUGAUGAUCGAAGAUUAGGAAGUACCAAAUAGUGAACUCUUUUGUUAUCUUGGAUCAUUCUUGCAAAAUAACAAAGAAUUGAAUGGAGAUCUCAAUCAUAGAAUACAAGAUGGAUGGAUGAAGUGGAAGAGUGCAUCAAGUGUGUUGUGCGAUCAUGGUAUGCCACUAAAGCUCAAUGAAAAAUUUGGCAAGUAAUGCUUUAUGACAUAGAAUAUUGGGUGGUCAAGCAUGUGCAAAAAAUAAGUGUAGCGGAGAUGAGAAUGCUUUGUUGGAUGUGUGGCCAGUGUUUUCAAAGGCUCGCCUCAGGGCGUCCGGGGCGUUCAUCUAGGCGUUUUUUUCUUCAAAAUCCAAGUUUUUUGCCGUUCAAGUUUAAACAAAGAAGUAGAGACUCUCCAAAUCCCAUAAAUUUCCAUAAUAAUUGCUCUACUGAGCCUUUAUUUCAUUUUAAAUACCCUAUAAAUACUCCACUCAACCCUUUAUUUUCGCCAUUUAUUUCAUUUUAAAUACCCUAUAAAUACUCCACCCCAUUUAUUUCAUUUUAAAUACCCUAUAAAUACUCCACUCAACCCUUUAUUUGCCUUUAAAUUCCCAUAAUUAUUGCUUAAUAUCAUUUUAAAUACCCUAUACUACUCUUCUCAGCCUUUAUUUCCUUUUAAAUUACUUAUAAUUCCAACAUUAAGCCUGUAUUUUACUUGAAAUUUUCCUAUAAUUGUGAUCAUUCAUCCUUAUUUUCCUUGAAGUUCUCUAUAAUUGCUUACAAUAAAAUAAAUAAUUAUAACAUUUUGAGACUAUAUGACAUAGUUUCCAAGUACAACUAGACUUGGUACUAAAGAAGAUGAUAUUAUCUUUGAUUUAGUUAUAGUUAUAUUUGUUUUUACAAGGUAUUAUAUUGUUAUAAAUAUACUUUAUAUAUAGUAUAUAUUAAAAUUUUAGGUUCCGUGAGGCUUCGCCUCACGCCUCACGCCUAGGCUGGGCCCAUUGGACGCCUCAGCCACGCCCUCGGCUUUUAAUACAUUGGUGUGGGCACACAAAAAAGGACAGGAUUGAAAACAUGGAUAUCUCAGGUAGAGUAAGAGUGGCCACAGUAGAAGAAAAGAUUAGAGAAAAUCAGUUAAGGUGGUUUGGACAUGUGAAAUGAAGACCUACAAAUACUUCGGCUAGAAAAUGUGAUUACCAGACAGAGGUUUGGGGCAAAAGAGGUAGAGAAAGACCUAGGGAGACUUGGAAAAGAUACUUUAAGAAAAGACAUGGAGCACUUGGAACUAACUGAAACUUGGUGCAAAACUGAGCUCAGUGGCGUUCUAGAAUUCAUACAACCAACCCCCCACUUAGUGGGAUAAGGCUUUGUUGUUGUUGUUGUUGUUGUUUUUGUCCAAGGGUAAUGCUAGUGAGAUUAAAUUUUCCGGCAAAAUUUUAGAAACUAAGUGACAUGAUACUUAAGUGUUAAUUAAUGUGCUUAUUUCUUAUUGGUGACACAUCAUUUAGUUGGAAAAUUUAGUUUACAUACUCUUUGGUCUAAAAGACCAAAAACAAAUAACCAUCAUCAAACCAAUACCUCUUGGUUCAAUCCCUGAUGAUUGCACACAGAGAAACAUUCUUGAAACACCAAAAAUUAGAACAUGCACCUGUAAAUGGCAUAAUGGCUAAUGGGGUACAACCUUAAAUCCCUUACUAACCAAAACUAAUAGGUAUACCGAAACAACCUCAACCAAUGGCAUAUUCCAGCAUUUACACGGUGGAAUUGUUCGACACAAAAAUGUCAUUGUCUUCCCCUCUCUCUAAUUGAAACAACAUAACUUCAUCACGUUAAAAUUAAGUAUAUACCAAAUACGAAGAAAUAACAUUGAAUUGCUGAUAAAAGAGAAUGCUAAAAAUUGAACAACCCAACAAAAUUGAGCGAAGAAUCAAACCAAAAAGUCGAAUUUAUGCUUGAGUUUUUGGGAUAUGGAGGCUUGGAGAGCUUCUUCUGAAGUGGAAGAGGCGACAAUGAUCCAUUCCCAAAAUGGCAAAAUCAAAGAUCAAAUACCUAACAAAGCAGUGAAAUACCUUCGCAAAUUCUUGGAGCUUUGACAAUUUCAAUUGCCAAAAGCAAUAUUCUUUCAAGGUUGGACAAUAUGCAGUUUUCACCAAGCAGUUUGGAUUUUAUUUCUGUACUUUUGCGAAACUGUUUCCAUUUACACAUUCGUGUUUUUCCAUCCUCAGUUUAGUCGUCUGCACCGUGUGUCGGACUUGCAUUUGCUUUUCCUUUCUCUGUUUUCUUACUUGAUUUUUUACUAUAUUGUCCCCAUCUUAUGAAUUUUUUGUCUUUUCAAUUCACUAUAAUCAAAGGGCAGUUUAGGUACUUUCUGAAAAUCUAACCACAAGGCCUUCUGCCUUAAUAAUAUAGAUAAACAAACGUAAAAAUGUCCUUCCAAAUAUCUAAAUUUUACUUGAGUUGGGUUGAAGGAGGUACGUGUAUCAACUUAACCUGUGACAUCAGAUCAAUGCUAGCCCCAAUUUAACUUUAAGUUAAGAGAGGUGAUUUCACACCCCCGUUUAGCUUCUCACAAACCCCUCUUUAUUUCUUUGCAUCCGAUUGAAUACAUCAAACGGAAACAUCCAUUCAAUUGACAUCUCAUUGACUACUGUUUAUGGGCUUUUGGAAAUUUUGAUAUUAAUUGUAUGAUACUUCUUCCCAGGUUCUGAAUGAUCCAGCUGACAUGCACUGUCCUGUUGUGGAGAUGCCUACACGUUCAAAACUUAGUUGCUUGAGCUGGAACAAGUUUACUAAAAACCAUAUAGCCAGUACUGACUAUGAAGGAAUAGUAACAGUUUGGGAUGUAAAUACUCGGCAGGUAUAUGAUUUUACUUAUUCUGAUAGAUUUGUCAUGCGUGAUUUGAAUUUUUAUACUUGUUGCAUCACUUUCAGUUUUUUUUGCUCAUGCUUAAACUUUUUCGACAGAGUGUCAUGGAAUAUGAAGAGCAUGAAAAACGUGCUUGGAGUGUUGAUUUUUCAUGCAUAGACCCCACGAUGCUUGUAUCUGGUAGUGAUGAUUGUAAGGUACUCCGAAAAUCUUUAUAAUCUUGAACCAAGUAUUUUUUUUAUGAUUAGGUGACUGGAAAUGUAGUACCUCUCUCUUUUUCGAUAAGCAAAGAAGUAUUAUUCUAUGUGCACCAUUUUUUGCUUAUAAAAUCAUUAGUAAGAAAUUUCCGAGAACACCCAAAGGGGGCAAAAUACUAUAUUUUAGUGUGGUAGUAAUUAUUGUUGCGAGUGACUAGGCAAAAUGCUAUAUUUGCCAUGCUUGUCCUAAGGUUGCCUUGGUUGGUUUACGCUUACAAAAUAGUUGAUGUAUGCUUGUAUCUAAUUUAUUCACUAUAUACAGGAGGCUAAAUUGAUGUGUUGUGUGUGUACAAUGUUGAUGUGUCCUUUGUGUGCUUUGGCGGUGCAUAUUGGUUGUGGAACUGUUUCCUAUGUUUUAACUUUUAAAAGUACCAGUAAAUAAUUUUUUAUAACAAUGCCAAAACAAUUGUAUGUUUGCUUAAAAUUGGCUUGGUUCAGGCUAACAUGACUACAAUAUUUGAUCCCCCCCCCCCUCCUCCUCCUCCUCCUCCUCCUCCUCCUCCUCCUCAUACACAGCUUACCAUCCGACCGUCAGAAUUUAAGUGAGCAAUUUUGAGUGACACGUACGUUUGCUUUCACCAUUUUUGAUGCUCAAGGAAGUGUGCAUUAUAAACUAACCACAUCCUCUGUUCUUUGUAUAAAAACCAGGUAAAACUUUGGUGCACAAGGCAGGAAGCUAGUGUUAUUGAUAUUGACAUGAAAGCCAACAUAUGUUCCGUCAAGUAUAAUCCGGGAUCUAGCAACUUCAUUGCGGUAUGCACCUUUCAUUGCCAAUAUUGGAGAAAAGUUAUGGCACGCUAUCUGCUUCAUUGUUUGAUCUUGUUUAGUUCUUAGAUGAUUUGAGUGCAAACUUGUGCUUUGCUGACUUAAUUCGCAGUAAUAUACUGUGCCUGAGCAAUGCACUGGACUUACAUGUACAUACGCUAAUGUGUGCAUGCACACAUCUAUUGAGUUUUACUUCGACAUCCCGUUAUGGGUGGGGUAUGUCGUGUAUAAAAGAGUCAUACAUGAUAUGUCCUGUUAUUUACCAUAAAGUAAAGCUGAAACCUUUUCCUCCUGCCUUUUCCAGGUUGGUUCAGCAGACCAUCACAUCCACUAUUAUGAUUUAAGAAAUCCGAGCGAACCACUCCACGUGUUCACUGGGCAUGGGAAAACCGUGUCUUAUGUAAAAUUCUUGUCAAACUAUGAGCUUGCCUCUGCAUCCACUGAUAGCACGCUGCGGUUAUGGAAUGUGAGGGAUAAUAUUCCAGUAAGUGAUUAUGCCUUGAAGCAAACUCACUUUGGUACACUUAACAUAGUUAAUGGGUUAUUAUAUGCUCUAAUCUACAUGGAAAAUAAAACUAAUUGAGAAAAUGAGAAUAGAAUGGACUUGUUGACAUCUUGUUAUGAAACUUAUUUAUCGAUUAGCUAAGUUGUACUCUUCAUCUGUGUUUUGUUUGAAGGUUCGUACUUUUAAAGGUCACACAAAUGAGAAGAACUUUGUCGGUCUUACAGUAAACAGCGAGUACAUUGCGUGUGGCAGCGAAACAAAUGAAGUGUUUGUGUAUCAUAAGGUUAGUGGCAUUAAAAAAAAAUACUCCAUUCCUGCAUUUUGUUAACUUGUGAUUAACUAAAAGUUUCCGGUAUAAUUUGUCAGGAGAUCUCUAAACCUGUGACUUGGCAUAAAUUUGGGUCGCCUGAUUUGGAUGACACAGAGGAUGAUGCGGGGUCGUACUUCAUCAGUGCUGUAUGUUGGAAGAGUGAUAGCCCUACCAUGUUAACUGCAAACAGUCAAGGAACCAUUAAAGUGUUGGUUCUUGCGGCAUAGACAACAACUAAAUGGAAACUAAAAGAAGGAUUCACGAGAAAGAAAGUUGAUGCUGCGAUUGUUUUGUAAGCGAUAUUCGGAUGUUGAAGUGUAAAUGCUAGGAUUGAGUUGAGAUGCAAUGUCAGUGGAAAGUUUUAUUAUUUGUUAUACAGAAGAUACUAAAUGUGCCAAAGAAAGUGAAAAUAUAUAGCAAUAAUAUCAUUGAUUACCGAGUGUCCUUGUGUAUUAUGAGCCUGUGUGCCCGGCUUUUCUUGAGUUCUACAGAUUUAUUCGUCCUCAACAGAUUCAUGAAUAUUUGCAGUAAAACUUUAGUUUUUUCAACUUCAGUGUAAUUUUUAUUAUUUUGUUUUAUCAAAUGAUUUCGUGUUGUAGUUAGGUUGAUUAAGCAAACAAAAGCUAAUACCGUUGGUGUUUUUAAGGUGCGCACCUUCAGUGUGGAUGGGAAUCUAACCGUUGUGAGUUGUUGAGCUCGUGCGUAGAGCCGAGUCUUUGUGACCCAGUGUCAUUCAUACUUUUUUUUUUCACUGGGUGUGUUUUUGUCAGAGAGAGGGAAACCUAAGGGUUUAUUGAGAGGGAGCUGGUGUGAGUAGUCAAAUUGAGGUGGUGUAGACAACGAAAUUUCGGUAAAUAAACCAACGCAUUAAAGUUUCGAUGUGUCAUGACAUACAUGGGAUGCACCACGUGUCGCACAAUUGUACACAUGGCAUGUGACUCAAUAAAUUGGAAGAAAUAGCCUUGGAGGAUUAAACAAGUUUUUCUUCUCAUUUUUAGGCAAUGACAAAGGCAAGCACACUUCAAUCCAUUAUGGAUGAACACAAGUUUUUCUUCUCAUUUUGGGCAAUGACAAGGUAAGCACAUUUCAAUCCACUACGGAUCAAAACAAGUUUUUCUCAUUUGGGCAAUGACAAAACAAGCACACUUUAGGAAAUUAGGUCAAAUAUUAGACCACUUCAAUUUCAAUAUUGCAUUAAGUGGGAAAAUUAGGUAAUGGUGCUUGGGUGGGAAAAUUUUGUGGUGAUGAUUCAUUCUCAAAGCCUAUAAAUAGGCUUCUCCAUCAAGGUAUCAAGCAUCAUAAAAUUCACAAAUACAUUUCUCUACUCCCAAAGUGGAAGAGAAUUCCCCAAAACCUUCAAGCUUUGAAACUUUAAAGCUUUCAAGCAUCCAACCUCCAAAAUUCCCAAGAAUCCCGAAGGAUCGAGAAAGCUCUCUUCGUUCUUCGUCAAACCCUUGAAGAAAUCCACACAAACGUUCAUCAAGAUCAAGCCUCGAAGGCCCUUGAAGAAACUUCCAACCGUUCAUCCAAGAUCAAGCAUCGACGGCCCUUGAAUCAACAACAUCCACAGAUCAACAUCUUACGAAGAUCUAAUCAGAGGGUCAAAUUUGAGAGAGAUUGUAACCCCAAAAAUCAUUAACACCAAAAUAUUAUUUUGUACACGUGUUCUUGUUUCGUUCAAUUUCCGUGUUCACUGGUGGAUUGAAGCUCCAUUUCAAUUGUGACUCGGUAACCUUAUACCUUUUUUUUUUUUAAUUUGGUUCACUGGGUGUGGCUUUGUCAAAGAAAGAGGGAGAAUUGAGGGUUGUACUUGCGUGAAAGAGAGACAGAGAGGGAACUGGUGAAGGGUAUGAGUGCUCGAUUUCAGGUGGAUUGAAGCUCAGUUUGGAUUGUAGUUGACAAGGGUGGUUCGUCUACAACCUCCAAAGAAACGCAGAUUGUGAAGGGCAGUUUUAUGGCGUAAGUUCAUCCAAAUCCCACAUAUGCGAAGACGUUGUGCGAAGAAACUGUGAUCAGAGUGUUGUCGUCGUCAUGUUCGCUGUGACGGCAGCUAGUUCAGUCAAUUGGUUGAAGUGUUGCAGGUUGUACAUUUCACUUCCAUUUUCGUUCUAUUUUGGUUCUAAAAACCAACUUCGGGUACGUUUGUAAGAUAUUUAUAAUUUUGGGUUUUAAUCCAUAAUAUUGUGAUGAGUUGUGGUAAAUUGUGUAGAUUUGUAACAGGUAGUUAUUGAAUUGUAAUUUAAAAUUAGUACCAAGCGGAAUAUCAUGUAUAUGAAAAUUAUAAUCCGCUGGACUGACUAAUCAAGCCCGCCAGUCAACUAAGAUAGAUUCGUUAAUCAAUAAAUCAAAGAUUCAAUAACCAAUUUCAAAUACCAAAAACUAUCCUAGUCAGCAAGGCCUAAGUUCGUUUCAAGUUAUUAAUGUGUCAAGUUAGCAUGUUGUGAGCAUAUACCAAUUAAAUAUUCAAGUGAUACAUGUAUCAUGUAUAUGUACGAGAGAUAUGUGACACAAUAUAAAUAACUUUGGACACAAGAUAUUUUUGGCCAGACAUACCCACCUCUAAGUUAAAAAACCAGGGACUCUCCACUAAGUCCAAUCCACUACUGUAAACAAGAUUCUUACAAAGUAACACGUAAAGCCCAAUUCCUAGACCUAGUCUACGGAAAUGGAGUCAUCUCCAGUCUUCCCAAGAUGGCAGCUCUUCCUGAACUCUUCACCUUGUGGCACUGAGAUCAACACCAACAAAUGCUAUGAUGUUAUGAUAUGCUUACAAAAAUCUAGAUUCAAACGACCAGUCAUAUUCUCCAGUCAAACAAUUGAAGGAAGAACCUAAUGUGAAUCCAAAUGCAUGGUCUAAGAAGGAUUUAAAACUUAAAUCUAGACCAAGAAUUUAAUGCAAAACCUUAAAACAACGCAGCCCUAAUAUGCAAUGAUUUGGUAUUUAAUGCGUGAACUUGGUUUUGCAACUAGGGUUUCAUAAAUGGGGAGGAAGAAGGUAGAAGCAUAAAUGCUCUCUCUAACUUCUCUCUAGAUAGAAAUGUACUAGGAAACCCCAAAAAUCAAAGAACCCUAGUUGGGGAUCUUAAACCCAAAAGCAUCAGUUUUUUUUUUUCACCUACCAAGGACACUUGUCAAACUACAAACUGAUCAAAAAUGAUCAAGGGCUAAUAUUUGACCAUCAGCAAAAAGCUAUCAAAAAGCCCAUGUGGGUAGACCUUAAAUUGUGUGCCCAGCAGCUAGAAAUUGGUGUGCAAAACAGAUGAGACAACUAAGUUAGUCAGGAAGUAACAAGAAUUUAAACAUGAAAUGCACAUGCAUGACCAAACCUUUUGAAGUAAGAUGUGCCACAAACUUGAACGUUUAUUCCCAGCAGUAGUAACCCAUAAUCAAAGAAUAGCCUAAAGCAAGAUUGAGCAUCGGGUACGAUUACAAUGUUGAUAUGCAAAGCCAUACCUAAAAUUCUAGACUUCACAUAAUUCGAUGAGGGAUGAGUUAGAAAUAGACGAAAUCAUCAAGGAAGGAGAAGAUGUAGAUGUAGGAGAUCAAUUUGCUGCAUGGAGGGUUGUAUUUGCGGUACCAAAUAUAAACGAUGAGUUGAAACUCAAAUUGAAAAUAGUGUUUGAUUCGUUGGAUGAAGGGUAUAUUGUUUACAAUAAUUAUGCACUUGCAGUUGGGUUUGCAAUUUGGAAGUAUAGUAAUAAAAAGUGUAGUGAUGUUAAUUGUUUGGUUAGAAAGAAUUUGUUUGUUGCAAACAAGGAAAAAAGAGAAUGGAUGCUAAUCCCAAAAUACAAUAAAUAAAAAAAUGGUAGAAGGGGAGAUACUAGAAGUAACUGCAAGCCGAAAAUUGUGUUAUAUAAGAAAAUUGGUUGUGAUAAGUUUAUUAUUUAAAGCAGCCACAUCCCUUUUGGUUAUGAAAGCUGAAUGGAUUAACAGAGAAUUGACAAAAUGUUAAUUUUGAGUUUCAAUCCUAAUGGAUGUCAAGGUUUAAAUCCUAAUUUUUUUAGUACAGGACUAUCUUCCAAUUUCGUUAUCAACACGCGGAUCAUUAAUUCAAUUUAGCCUAAAUAUUAUUAUUCAAGAAAUGAGACGUGUGUUCUUACUUGGAGAUGCAAGUAUUAUUAUCCUAAUUGUAUUUAACAUCAUUUUUCAACUUGCAUAUAACUCGUAAUAUUAGGACACUAGCGAAUAUCCAUCUUUCGUUUUUGUCUCUCUUCCUCUUCCUCUCUCUUUCCAAACCCAUAAUAAAAUAGCAGAGGCGAGAGAAGAAAGAAGAGAAAAGGAGCUCCUUGAUUUUCAUUCUCUUAACUUUUCCCCAGAAAUUGCAGAAAUAGAAAAAGGAAAACGAAAACUUAGAGAGGGAUGGGGAAAAGAGCCGACAGUUGGGGACGAUAUGAAGGUGGUUGGUGCAGAAGUGGUAUUCGACAAUAGUAAGUUCCCGUUGAUCUUUUGGGAGGUGGCCGUGUCUACCACCGUCGUAGUGGGCUUCUUGUUUGGCCUUUGAGAUGUUGGUAUUCUACUUGAAUCUAAUUUUUUUAACUUAAAAUUAAUUUUUAAGUUUUAGGCUUUAAAAACUUGUUUGAUAUGACUAUUUUCAAAAAUUGAACUCAAGACUAACUCAAAAAUAUAGUAUAUCUUCUAAAAACAUAAAAAGUGAGUUUUUAGAUAUUUUAAACUUAAACUUACUUCUUUCUUUUCUCUCCCUCCUCCUCCCUCACUCCAAAUCUAUCUCUCUUUUAUUCUUUCUCUCUCCUCUUUUUUUACCUUUUUCUUCUCUCCUCCAAUCCUCUUUCGUCGUUCUCUAAAUUCUUUCUCUCACUCAUCUUCCUCUUUAUCUCGUCCGAUCCUCUCUCUUCUUUCUCUUUUCUUCAAUCAUCUCUUACCUUUUUUUCCUCCUUUCUCCUAUUUUUCCCUCUCAUGCGACCCCCUCUUUUUAGAUCUCUUUGUCUAGUUUAAGUUGUAAGAUUUAAAAUUUUUAAAUCGCAAACCAAUCAAGUUUUUUAGUCUUAAAGAAAAUUGUUUUCAAGAAAUAUUCUUAAGAAGUGUUUUGAGAAAUGAUAAAAAACUUCAAAUAGGAUACCAAACAGGCCCUAAGAGGGGUAUAGUUUUCAUCGUUAUGGUCACCAACCAUUUCUUCUUAAGUUACGGUGCAAGGGCUCGAUUGAAACAAAUGAUUAAUUAAACCAAAGAGAGAUUCCUAUGCACAUUUAGGCAGAAAAAGCAUGCUUACAAAUAUAUGGAACUAAAUUUGCACGCAAGUCAUAAGAGUUCCUCAAUCCAAGAUUUAUCAACCAAUUCAUGUGGUUCUACCAACCCCUUCCAUCUUGCCUAAAAUUCUUUUUUAUUUUCAAUAUCCCAUAUGCAGUCAUGCAAAUCCUUGAAAAUGCCCUCAACCCAACCCUUGUCAUUGAAUUUGUUUAUAAUAUGCCAUAUGCAGUACAGAUGAAAAGUUGUUAGUUUGCUGCCAAUCGCCUUUGCUGUGGCUCCAUCUUGAUCUGUAAUUAUGAUUUUCGAAAGCUUACCCGUCAUAGCUUUAAUGAAUUCUUCAAACAAUCUCUCAAAGCUCUCGGUUUUUUCAUUUUUCAGGAAUGCACAACCUAAUAUCGUGGUUUGACUUGGCUAUUAACUCCUAACAAAUGAGCAAAAUCAUCUUGUACACAUUGGUGUUGAACGUGGUCUCAAACACAAUCACAUCACCAAAAUGACCAAAACAUGUUGUGAAUUAGAAUCUGUCCACUAGAAAUUGUCAAGUGUUCUGCCUUCCUCAAUCUCCAUCUUGAAAUGAAUGACUCAUUUUUCUCUUUCUCAUCCUCAAAAUGCUCUUUGAGCAAUCCUACAUCAUGCCCCAAUUAAAUGAGCUUGCAAUUACUCUUGAGCAUUAUACAUAUCCUUGGAGGUGCAACCAAUAUUUUCAAUUCCUCCACUUUGCACCUCCAAUAAACCCACUUGUUUACUAAUGAAAUUUUUUGUAUGCACACAUUUCCAAUCAUUGCCUUCUUUGCCUCCGAAACUCGGCAAUGAGAUCUAAAUAAGUGUGAGGCACUUGUCAUAAGGUGGUAGUGUCAUUCGUUAAAAACUAUUACAACAAAUUUUUCAUGGCUAAUUCCCUUAUACAGCUCAAUUUUCGCCUUACAGUCACUUCUAGCACCUCCCCUCCUACCUUGCCGAUUGGGUUUGAGAUUAGCAUCCACCCUCUUUUUGCUUUGUUUGCAACAAACAAAUUCUUUACUUACCAAACAAUCACCAUCAUUGCAUUUUUUUUUUAAUAUGCUCCCAAAUCCCAAACUCAGCUUCAAGUGCAUAAUAAUUGUAAAAAAAAUACAUCUUUCAUCCAACGGAUCAAACUCCAAUUUCAAUUUAGGUUUCUAGUCAUUGUCUACAUUUGGUACCACAAAUACAACCCUCCAUGCACCCACUUGAUCUCCUACAUCUACAACCUCUCAUUCCUCGAUAAUUUCAUCUAUUUCUAACUCAUCCCCAAUCGAAUUACAAUUCAACAAAUACCUGCUACAAAUCUACACAACUACAACAUAAAUUAUCACAUCUUAGCACAAGUUUUACCCGUAUAUAUGUAAAAUCGAUUCAAAUCCCAGAAUUAUAUAUCUUACACACAUACCCUAAGUUGGUUUUCAGAACCAAAAUGGAAAGGAAAUGGAAGAAUGAGGGAAAUGUACAACUUAACACGCUUUGACCAAAUGAGUGAACUAGUUGCCGCCACGGCGAACGCGACGGUGACAAAGCACUGACCACAGUUUCUUCACACGUCUUCGCAGAUGUGGGAUUUGGAUGAACUACUGAGCUUCACAAUCUGGGUUUCUUCAGAGGUUGUGGACGAACCACCUUUGUCAACUUCAAUCCACUUGAAAUCAAGCUCUCACAACCUUCACCAGCUCCCUCUCUCUACCUCUCUUUGCCCGCGAAUAUAACCCUCAACUCUCCCUUUCUCUAAAAAUAAAAAUAAAAAAUAUGAAAAAAAUAAAAAACCACUCAGUGAACCAAAAAAAUUAAAAGGAAGCUUCAAUCCACCUCUAUUCGACUCAUCCCUUUCUCUGCCUCUAUUUCCCUCUCAAAGGCACGAAUAAACCUUCAGCUCUCCCUCUCUCUGUGACAAAAACACACCUGGUGAACAAAAGAAAAGUAGGAAUUACACUGAGUCAGUAUGACUGGGUCCUACGCGUGAGAUCGACAGCUCACAACCGUUGGAUUCUCUUCCACGCGGUUGCAAGGUGAAGACUCAUCCUGUGACAGCAGUCAAAUCAAUAACUUGGGUUAGAAAAUGAACGAUCUGAAAAUGAAAGGUCUGCUCUAUUCAUAAUGGAUAAUCUGGGAAAUGGCAAAAUUUUCUUCGCUUUGUGAGAAGAGUUUAGUUGUUGUAUUUUUUUUUUUCAAAUAAUAGAUAUAGAUAUAUAUAUGUAGGAAUUGCUUAAGGGGAGGGAUCCCCAUUUUUUCAAAAAAAUGGGGACACGCUCCCCACCGUUGGAUUUGAAUUAAAUGAAAUUCUGUGGUUGAGAUUCUAUGGCCUGUGUUUUAAUCUCAACCACACAAUUUCAUUAAAGUCAAUCUAACGGUGGGGAGCGUGUCCCCAUUUUUUUAAAAAAAAUGGGGAUCCCUCCC